GCGGUGGUGGUUCAGUAGUAGAAUUCUCACCUCCUGCGCAGGAGACCCAGGUUCAAGUCCCAGCCAGCGCA
rnacentral:tRNA from 1 species